CGUUGAAAUACCACCCUGGUGCGUUUGAGGUUCUAACCCAGGUCCCUUAUCGGGAUCGGGGACAGUGCAUGGUAGGCAGUUUGACUGGGGCGGUCUCCUCCCAAAGCGUAACGGAGGAGUUCGAAGGUACGCUAGUUACGGUCGGACAUCGUGACGAUAGUGCAAUGGCAUAAGCGUGCUUAACUGCGAGACUGACAAGUCGAGCAGAUGCGAAAGCAGGACAUAGUGAUCCGGUGGUUCUGUAUGGAAGGGCCAUCGCUCAACGGAUAAAAGGUACUCUGGGGAUAACAGGCUGAUACCGCCCAAGAGUUCAUAUCGACGGCGGUGUUUGGCACCUCGAUGUCGGCUCAUCUCAUCCUGGGGCUGUAGCCGGUCCCAAGGGUAUGGC
rnacentral:rRNA from 1 species